GAUGAACGCUGGCGGCGUGCCUAACACAUGCAAGUCGAGCGAUUCUCUUCGGAGAAGAGCGGCGGACGGGUGAGUAACGCGUGGGUAACCUGCCCUGUACACACGGAUAACAUACCGAAAGGUAUGCUAAUACGAGGUAAUAUGCUUUUAUCGCAUGGUAGAAGUAUCAAAGCUUUUGCGGUACGGGAUGGACCCGCGUCUGAUUAGCUAGUUGGUAAGGUAACGGCUUACCAAGGCGACGAUCAGUAGCCGACCUGAGAGGGUGAUCGGCCACAUUGGAACUGAGACACGGUCCAAACUCCUACGGGAGGCAGCAGUGGGGAAUAUUGCACAAUGGGCGAAAGCCUGAUGCAGCAAUGCCGCGUGAGCGAUGAAGGCCUUCGGGUCGUAAAGCUCUGUCCUCAAGGAAGAUAAUGACGGUACUUGAGGAGGAAGCCCCGGCUAACUACGUGCCAGCCGCCGCCGUAA
rnacentral:rRNA from 1 species